GGACUACCCGGGUAUCUAAUCCUGUUUGCUCCCCACGCUUUCGCGCCUCAGCGUCAGUUACAGACCAGAAAGCCGCCUUCGCCACUGGUGUUCCUCCACAUCUCUACGCAUUUCACCGCUACACGUGGAAUUCCGCUUUCCUCUUCUGCACUCAAGUCCCCCAGUUUCCAAUGACCCUCCACGGUUGAGCCGUGGGCUUUCACAUCAGACUUAAAGGACCGCCUGCGCGCGCUUUACGCCCAAUAAUUCCGGACAACGCUUGCCACCUACGUAUUACCGCGGCUGCUGGCAC
rnacentral:rRNA from 1 species